CUUUAAAAAUCUGGAUCAAGCUGAAAAUUGAAACGACACACUGUUUCCUUUCUCCGUAAUAAGAAAGGAAAAGCGGUGUGUUCGAGUCUCUCAAAUUUUCACAACACGACUGUUUUACGAAACAGCUUCGG
rnacentral:sRNA from 1 species